rnacentral:rRNA from 1 species
GACGAACGCUGGCGGCGUGCUUAACACAUGCAAGUCGAACGAAGUGGCGAACGGGUGAGUAACGCGUAAUUAACCUGCCCUUCAGCGGGGGACAACAGUUGGAAACGACUGCUAAUACCGCAUACUGAAGGAGGGGAUUGAGUCUGAUUAGCUCGUUGGAGGGGUAACGGCCCACCAAGGCGAUGAUCAGCAGCCGGUCCGUGAGUAUGAACGGGCACAAUGGGACCUGGACACGGCCCAGACUCCUACGGGAGGCAGACGUGGGGAAUCUUCGGCAAUGGACGAAAGUCUGACGGAGCAACGCCGCGUUGGUGAUGACGGCCUUCGGGUUGUAAAGCUCUGUUAAUCGGGACGCGGUACCGGAAUAGAAAGCCACGGCUAACUACGUGCCAGCAGCCGCGGUAAUUC